rnacentral:snRNA from 11 species
AGCCUUAACAAAAGGUCUCUUGGCCUGUGUGAUCAACUGUAGUAUUUGUUCAUAUCAGUUUAAUAUCUGUCCCCUACCCGGGAACAAUAUUUAAAUAGACCUUCGGAACAGGGAGUUCCCAGAUGCUCCGUCCACUUCACACAGCCACCUGGUAUUGCAGGAACAGUGCACUCCCUAGGGUGGCAGUAGCUCAG